UACAGAGGGUGCAAGCGUUAAUCGGAUUUACUGGGCGUAAAGCGAGUGUAGGUGGUUUGCUAAGUCAGGUGUGAAAUCCCAGGGCUCAACCCUGGAACUGCAUUUGAUACUGGCAGGCUUGAGUGUGGUAGAGGAUAGUGGAAUUCCCGGUGUAGCGGUGAAAUGCGUAGAUAUCGGGAGGAACAUCAGUGGCGAAGGCGGCUAUCUGGACUAACACUGACACUGAGACUCGAAAGCGUGGGGAGCAAACAGG
rnacentral:rRNA from 1 species